AUUGAACGCUGGCGGCAGGCCUAACACAUGCAAGUCGAGCGGAUGAAGGGAGCUUGCUCCUGGAUUCAGCGGCGGACGGGUGAGUAAUGCCUAGGAAUCUGCCUGGUAGUGGGGGAUAACGUCCGGAAACGGGCGCUAAUACCGCAUACGUCCUGAGGGAGAAAGUGGGGGAUCUUCGGACCUCACGCUAUCAGAUGAGCCUAGGUCGGAUUAGCUAGUUGGUGGGGUAAAGUCCUACCAAGGCGACGAUCCGUAACUGGUCUGAGAGGAUGAUCAGUCACACUAGAACUGAGCCACGGUCCAGACUCCUACGGGAGACAGCAGUGGGGAAUAUUGGACAAUGGGCGAAAGCCUGAUCCAGCCAUGCCGCGUGUGUGAAGAAGGUCUUCGGAUUGUAAAGCACUUUAAGUUGGGAGGAAGGGUAGUAAGUUAAUACCUUGCUGUUUUGACGUUACCAACAGAAUAAGCACCGGCUAACUUCGUG
rnacentral:rRNA from 1 species